UGGUGCCCUAGCUUCUUCGGAACCACGCCAAUCCAUCUCGAACUUGGCUGUGAAACGGAGAAGGGGGAAAGGUACUAUCGGGGUAGCCCCACGCGAUCCCACUCCGGUGCCGGGAAACUCGGUCGUUAAGCCCUCCAGAGCCAAUGGUACUUCGUCUCAAGGCGCGGGAGAGUAGGUCGCCGCCGGGUC
rnacentral:rRNA from 1 species